rnacentral:rRNA from 1 species
AGUUUCGGCUGGGGUUCGGACACUCACCAGGUAAGGGAAGGUUAGUCGAAUGGCAUGGGAAGGCCAGCCACAGACGGUUAGAGCCCAGUAGACGAAAACCCGAACUUAUAGAGUGGAUCCAGAGUACCACGAAGCACGUGGAAUUUCGUGGGAAUGCGCGGGGACCACCCCGUAAGGCUAAAUACUCCUUAGCGACCGAUAGAGAACAAGUACCGUGAGGGAAAGGUGAAAAGCACCUCGGAAGAGGAGUGAAAUAGAACCUGAAACCGCAUGCUUACAAUCAGUCACAGCUCCGUAAGAGAGUAGUGGCGUACUUUUUGUAGAACGGACCGGCGAGUUACGUUAACAAGCGAGGUUAAGGAAACGGAGCCAAAGCGAAAGCGAGUCUGAAUAGGGCGAAAGUUUGUUGACGUAGACCCGAAACCAGGUGAUCUACCCAUGAGCAGGUUGAAGCGUUGGUAAAACAACGUGGAGGACCGAACCAGGGAUCGUUGAAAAGAUCUUGGAUGACUUGUGGGUAGGGGUGAAAUUCCAAUCGAACCUUGAGAUAGCUGGUUCUCCUCGAAAUAGCUUUAGGGCUAGCCUUAUUUUGAGCUUAACGAAGGUAGAGCACUGAAUGGGUACGGGGGCUUCACCGCCUACCAAACCUUAUCAAACUCCGAAUGUCGUUAAGCAUGAAUAGGAGUCAGACCAUGGGGGAUAAGCUUCAUGGUCAAAAGGGAAAGAGCCCAGACCGCCGUCUAAGGUCCCAAAAUCAUUGUUAAGUGGAAAAGGAUGUGAAAUCGCUUAGACAACCAGGAUGUUGGCUUAGAAGCAGCCACCAUUAAAAGAGUGCGUAAUAGCUCACUGGUCCAGGGGUUUUGCGCCGAAAAUGUAACGGGGCUCAAACAAUGUACCGAAGACGCGGAAUUACAGAUGUAAUUGGUAGAGGAGCGUUCUCAUUGGGGAGAAGCGAUACCGAGAGGAGUCGUGGACUAAUGAGAAGAGAGAAUGCCGGUAUAAGUACACGAUAAGGCAGGUGAGAAUCCUGCCCGCCGGAAGUCUAAGGGUUCCUGGGGAAGGCUCGUCCACCCAGGGUAAGUCGGGGCCUAAGGCAAGGCCGAAAGGCGUAGUCGAUGGGAAACAGGUAGAUAUUCCUGUACCACCGCUAUAUGAUGACGACGCAGUGACGCAGAAAGGUAGAGCGAGCGGCCAGUUGGUGAGCCGUUCAAGUGAGUAGGGUGUUUGGUAGGCAAAUCCGCCAAACGGAAGCCUGAGACACGAUGACGAGUGAAAAAUAGUAACGAAGUCCUUGAUCCUCCGCUGCCAAGAAAAGCUGCUAAGGAAUAUAGAGGUGCCCGUACCGCAAACCGACACAGGUAGACAGGUAGAGAAUACUAAGGCGCGCGAGAUAACUCUUGUUAAGGAACUCUGCAAAAUGAACCCGUAACUUCGGGAGAAGGGUUGCUGACCAUGGUGAGUAUGGACAAUACAGAGCUGAGGUCAGUCGCAGUGAAAAGGUCCAGGCGACUGUUUAGCAAAAACACAGGUCAUUGCAAAAUCGCAAGAUGAAGUAUAAUGGCUGACGCCUGCCCGGUGCUGGAAGGUUAAGGGGAAGAGUGCAAGCUUUGAACCGAAGCCCCAGUAAACGGCGGCCGUAACUAUAACGGUCCUAAGGUAGCGAAAUUCCUUGUCGGGUAAGUUCCGACCCGCACGAAAGGCGAAACGAUCUGGACGCUGUCUCAACAAGGGACUCGGUGAAAUUGAAAUUCCGGUAAAGAUGCCGGAUACCUGCGAUAGGACAGAAAGACCCCAUGGAGCUUUACUGUAGCCUGAUAUUGGGUUUCGGAUAUUCAUGUACAGGAUAGGUGGGAGACUAGGAAUCGAGGACGCCAGUUUUCGAGGAGUCAAUGGUGGGAUACCACCCUUAAAUGUUUGGAAUUCUAACAAGGAGUCUUGAAGCAGAUUAUUGGACAGUGUCAGGUGGGCAGUUUGACUGGGGCGGUCGC